rnacentral:rRNA from 1 species
UACGGGGGGGGGCAAGCGUUGUUCGGAAUUACUGGGCGUAAAGGGCCAGUAGGCGGCCAACUAAGUCGGACGUGAAAUCCCCAGGCUCAACCUGGGAACUGCGUCCGAUACUGGAUGGCUUGAAUUCGGGAGAGGGAUGCAGAAUUCCAGGUGUAGCGGUGAAAUGCGUAGAUAUCUGGAGGAACACCGGUGGCGAAGGCGCAUCCUGGACCGGCAUUGACGCUGAGGAGCGAAAGCCAGGGGAGCAAACGGG